UUUUUUAAAAAAAAAAAAAAACACUAAUCUUAACUGCUUUACAUUCCGCACAUUAAGAAUUUUGCUAAUAUUGCUAUUUAAUUUUUUUUCUUUUUAAUUUAAUUUUUAUUUUGUAAAAUAUCUAAUUGCAGGUACGUGUGCCUUUUCUUUCUCUCUUUCAUCCAGUUCUCACCCAAAUCAGAGUGUUAUAACUGGACACUUACCUUGAAAAAGUUGUGAUACCUUUCUUUUACCUUUAUUGCUGAAACUUAAAAAUUUACAAGUAAAAAAAAAAGUUACUUUUGGGGCCGGCAACUCUCAAAUCUGGGAACUGCAUUCCCGGAAACAGAGGAGUUUUUCUAAGCUUUGACCUGGAGCCACAUGAGAUCUUAACUCUCAGUGCUUCUGCAAAAGGUUGGUUCCUGAAGUGGGAUUCUUUUGUCACUGCAGACCCCCAAAACCCACCCCAUUGGUUUGGCCCUCCGCAGCUCCAUGAGUAUGAAGAAGUGAGGGUGCCAAGAAGAUAUGAGGAAUUGGGUCCUCUGUAUGAGAUGUGGUGUCCUAAGAGGGAACCAUGGAUUCAUGAGUACGCAAAUAUCUACGAAGAGAGCAGAAGAUUGCCCUCCCUGCAGGCGGAGACGAGGCAGAUCUAUGAUCCCGUGGCAGAUUAUUUGCCCUUGGAAAGGGAGCUGCCUUUUGAAGAGCAAGGGGAACUGGUCUAAGCAAAACUACGGGCAGCGUGUUGGAUUUAUUUGCCAGGAUUUGUUUGUGUCUAUAAAGCAAUUCACAACUGAGCAUCUCCGAGCCCCUUGUGUCUGUGUUCGCCCCUUGUUGACGCAGUGGAUUGAACAAGCAGAAAAAGUGCAGUGGGAGGAAGUGAAGGUGGGCGAAAAGGGGAAGCAGACUGGGCUGGCUUUGUGUGGGUGGUUGGGGGGCAAUGUAACACCAAGACAGCUGACGUGCUUAAAAAGUGUGCUUUAUUUAUUGCCACAAUUAGCGCACUUCUGUGCCAAUAACAUAUGGGUCAGUCAUAAACCCCAGCUUUCCCUUUCUUCUGCUCGAAGAUUCCAUUUAGCAAAAGACCUGAGAUUAUCUGUCUUGUUGAAGAUACAGCAAGAGGGAAAGCUUUCAGAGUCAAAAGAGAAGAGGAAGGGGGAGGAUCACUUUUGCUCCUUAGCAUGGCCACAUGCCUUCACAUCAUUCCUGCAGCAUUUUGUGGUGGAAUAG
rnacentral:lncRNA from 1 species